rnacentral:rRNA from 1 species
CAGCAGCCGCGGUAAUACGAAGGGGGCUAGCGUUGCUCGGAAUGACUGGGCGUAAAGGGCGCGUAGGCGGCGGCCAAAGUCAGGCGUGAAAUUCCCGGGCUCAACCUGGGGGCUGCGUUUGAUACUUGGUUGCUUGAGUGGGGAAGAGGGUCGUGGAAUUCCCAGUGUAGAGGUGAAAUUCGUAGAUAUUGGGAAGAACACCGGUAGCGAAGGCGGCAACCUGGUCCUUGACUGACGCUGAGGCGCGAAAGCGUGGGGAGCAAACAGGAUUAGAUACCCCCGUAGUCCCUGUCUCUUAUAC